UUUAUGGAGAGUUUGAUCCUGGCUCAGGACGAACGCUGGCGGCGUGCCUAAUACAUGCAAGUCGAGCGAACAGAAAAGGAGCUUGCUCCUUUGACGUUAGCGGCGGACGGGUGAGUAACACGUGGGCAACCUACCCUAUAGUUUGGGAUAACUCCGGGAAACCGGGGCUAAUACCGAAUAAUCUCUUUUGCUUCAUGGUGA
rnacentral:rRNA from 1 species